rnacentral:rRNA from 1 species
GGGUGAGUAACACGUGGAUAACCUACCCAUAAGACUGGGAUAACUUCGGGAAACCGGAGCUAAUACCGGAUAAUAUAUUGAACCGCAUGGUUCAAUAGUGAAAGACGGUUUUGCUGUCACUUAUAGAUGGAUCCGCGCCGCAUUAGCUAGUUGGUAAGGUAACGGCUUACCAAGGCAACGAUGCGUAGCCGACCUGAGAGGGUGAUCGGCCACACUGGAACUGAGACACGGUCCAG